CCCUUAGAUGUUCUGGGCCGCACGCGCGCUGCACUGAACAUAUCAGCUUGUUUUUCCCUUCCUGAGAAGGACGGGUAAACCCCUGAGCCAUGUUCAUGGUAGGGAUUGGGGCUUGCAAUUAUUCCCCACGAACCAGGAAUUCCCAGUAGGCGCAAGUCAUAAGCUUGCGUCGAUUACGUCCCUGCCCUUUGUACACACCGCCCGUCGCUCCUACCGAUUGAGUGAUCCGGUGAGGCUCUGGGACCUGGACGGAAAGAGCGUUUCGCUUGUUCUGUUUGGGAAACUUGGUCGAACCUUAUCAUUUAGAGGAAGGAGAAGUCGUAACA
rnacentral:rRNA from 1 species